GCAAACUUGGUCAUUUAGAGGAAGUAAAAGUCGUAACAAGGUAACCGUAGGUGAACCUGCGGUUGGAUCAUUAACAAAGAAUUCUGGACCUCCGGCUGCCCCGCAAGGGCGAUGGAGGAUUCCUGAAACAUUUGUGUGCACCGUAUCUGUCUUUGGCAGUUCGAGUUGCCUCGGGGCUUCCAGGCCAUUGGUCUGCCCGAGGCCUACUCCGGCUCCGCAUUAGCGUUUGCCGGGGUUGGGCUGCCGCCUUUUUGAACAAACCUUAUUGUAUAUUGAUUUUUUGAGUCUGACCUCGUUUAAUCUUGAUUGAUUAAAUUUGAAAACAACUUUUGACAACGGAUCUCUUGGCUCUCGCAUCGAUGAAGAACGCAGC
rnacentral:misc_RNA from 1 species